UACUCCCUGGAGACAUUGAUGGAUGAGGGCCGAAAGGCUAGGAGAUUCUAGUGAGGUCUCCGCCCAGAGAUCAGGCAACACUUGUUAGUACUGGAGCUCAAGACAUAUUCAGCAGUCCUAGCAAAGGCACAGAUCGUGGAAAGAAGCUUCAGCACCCGUCCUCAGCCAGGAGGGAGUUCCCGACCCUCAGCUCUGUUCCGCAGGCCAGUACCUACUGCGCCUGCCCAACCAAAUAAGAGGCCCAGACCAGCCAUCCAGGCCCCUCCUCAGGCUCCAGGGGCAGCACGUGGGAAGAUCUGUCAGCACUGCGGUAGAGAUCACGGGGACCGACUUUGCUACCGCCUCAACAACAUUUGUCGCAUUUAUGGCAGUGCCCAGCAUUAUGCAAAAGAAUGCCCGAUGAACCAGAAUCAAGGGAUGCCUCCUAUCUAGGGCAGAGCUUACAACCUUACCUAGCAGGAUGCCGACGCCGACCCGGAUGUAGUAC
rnacentral:lncRNA from 1 species